AGCAUAGGUUACACUUGCGAAUCAGUGUACUUAUUAAAUGUUUUUCUUAAUUUCUUUUCCAUAGGACUCUCAAAUUCCAACAUUAACCUGCCAGGUCGAGAGGAUCAAGGCCCCAUCUCUCCGUCAGCACAGCUGCAGGACAAAAACGCCAACAACCACACCUCUCCCAACUCUUCGAACCCUGCGCCCAUUGAGAACGGCAACCAGAUCUCUAAUGGGACGUUGGAAGACGAGGGACAUCCAAAGUCGAAUGCGUCCAGCACCUCGGCGUUACACAGGCACAUGGACAGCCACCACACUCAGGUGCUCCAGAGGUCACGUGCAUGUGGGGAUCAGCGGGCCACUCUGCAGGAAUUGUUGCGCUGGCGGAGGAGUGUUUGGGAUGGUCGACCGGACUGGCAGAACGCUUGGCUCCACACAAACACCUCACCCACCCUAACAGUGAAGACCAAGAGUCCCAGAAAGAAAUCAUCGCCCUAGAGAUUGUGGUCUUCCUGGGUUAAACCUCAGUUAACCCCAACUCCUUA
rnacentral:lncRNA from 1 species